GUUCAGUAGCAAUAAAUGCAGAAGCAAAUGUAAGUGCAAGAUUGAAAACUUCAUUGAUAUUAUUUCCUCUACUUAUUUUAUUUUGGCAUUCCCUGUUGAAUUUUGUUGAUAAUGGAUUAAAGGUAAAGGUAAGUUCACCAUCAAAAUUUUCCCUUUUGAAGGUGACUAUGCAGUACUGAAGCUUGAGGAAGACCGAUGGGAGUUCAACCUAAAUUAGACUCGCUUGGGAACAAACUGUCAAAGUUGUUUGAAGUAAAUAAGCAACCUGGAUCCCAGCCCCUUCCUUUCCUUCCUUCAUUCCUUUGUUCUUGGCUUCCUCAUUCCCCCUCCCUACUUCCCUCCCUUCUUCCCUCUCUCUCCAUCUUCCUCUCUCCUCCUGUCUUUUCUUUCUCGCUUUCCCACCCUUUUGUCCUGAAGCCGAGAAGAGCAAGCUAACACCCGGUUGUAAGUUCUGGAUAAUCAAGAUGUUAUUCCUCAAACGGAGAGAAUUUCUAACACAAAGGAAAGAAAGAAAGACACCUAACCCACUGUUUCUCAAAGUGUGUUCUGGGAAAUAUCAAUUCUGCCAGAUGCUGACUAGAAACAAGUUUGUUGGCCAAAUAAGUUUGGGAAACACUGUUACAUAAGGACAGUCACAUUUCUGCACCCCUGGAAUUCUCAAGAGUUUAAUAAACAAAUAGACUCUGUGACUCCCCCAGUGGAGAAUAUAGCUCACAUGCACUCGACUUUUUCUGUGAGGUCAGUUUUAGGGCUAGUGAAACCACUUUGAGUUGGCUCACUGGAGAGCCACUUAUUAGAUGAGACUUAUCCCAGGAAAUUAUAGGAUCAAGAAACCUAACAGAAGAACGAUGUGUUCCCACUGAAACCGUUGGUACAUUCAACACGGACAGUAUUCUUCACGGCGAAGUCUCGAAGUUAUUUACAUCUGAAGAAAAUCAUUUCCAACAAGUUAUCUAGAACGAAUGUUCCUGAAACAUGAGGUACUGCUUCGGUGCUCAUAACUGCGCUCUAGAGAGUCAAGCUUGAAACUACAACUGUACAACCGGCUUGAAGAACUUACUGUGCCCUCCUUAGGAGAUUUCAGGAACACAGAUGAUGGGUAAGGAUUUUUUUCACACCAUGAUAGCAGAAGAGAAGAAUUAGCAUGUGUGAUGUAAGUGCCUGACAUUAAGCUUUUGGUUGCGGAGGCAUCCGUUUCACAGACUUCCAUCUUGAAUCAGUGAUUACCAGCUGUGUGGCAGGGCCACUGGCAACACAACCAGAUGAGGAACCAGACCCCUAGGUUCCCCUUCUAGAAAGCUCUCAUGAACCUAGAUAACUGACCGCCUGAGUCACCCCGCUUAUUCCUUUCCAUGCCCUAAUUCCAGUUUCUACGUUUAAAAAUUUUCCCAGAGUGGGGCGCCUGGGUGGCUCAGUCGGUUGAGCAUCCGACUUCAGCUCAGGUCCCGAUCUCACGGUCCGUGAGUUCGAGCCCCGCGUCAGGCUCUGGGCUGAUGGCUCAGAGCCUGGAGCCUGCUUCCGAUUCUGUGUCUCCCUCUCUCUCUGCCCCUCCCCCAUUCAUGCUCUGUCUCUCUCUGUCUCAAAAAUAAAUAAACAUUAAAAA